rnacentral:rRNA from 1 species
GACGAACGCUGGCGGCGUGCUUAACACAUGCAAGUCGAACGGAAAGGCCCCCUUGUGGGGUACUCGAGUGGCGAACGGGUGAGUAACACGUGAGUAACCUACCCUUGACUUUGGGAUAACUUCAGGAAACUGGGGCUAAUACCGGAUAGGAGCUCCUGCUGCAUGGUGGGGGUUGGAAAGUUUCGGCGGUUGGGGAUGGACUCGCGGCUUAUCAGCUUGUUGGUGGGGUAGUGGCUCACCAAGGCUUUGACGGGUAGCCGGCCUGAGAGGGUGACCGGCCACAUUGGGACUGAGAUACGGCCCAGACUCCUACGGGAGGCAGCAGUGGGGAAUAUUGCACAAUGGGCGGAAGCCUGAUGCAGCAACGCCGCGUGCGGGAUGACGGCCUUCGGGUUGUAAACCGCUUUCGCCUGUGACGAAGCGUGAGUGACGGUAAUGGGGAAAGAAGCACCGGCUAACUACGU